rnacentral:rRNA from 1 species
CAUGGGAUGAGCUGUGGAUAGCGGAGAAAUUCCAAUCGAACUCGGAGAUAGCUGGUUCUCCUCGAAAUAGCUUUAGGGCUAGCGUCGUGUAAUUGAGUAAUGGAGGUAGAGCACUGAAUGGGCUAGGGGCUAUAGUAGUUACCGAACCCUAUCAAACUCCGAAUGCCAUAUACUUGUAUCACGGCAGUCAGACUGCGAAUGAUAAGAUCCGUAGUCAAAAGGGAAACAGCCCAGACCAUCAGCUAAGGUCCCAAAGUGUAAGUUAAGUGGAAAAGGAUGUGGGAUUUCUAAGACAACUAGGAUGUUGGCUUAGAAGCAGCCACUCAUUUAAAGAGUGCGUAAUAGCUCACUAGUCAAGAGAUCCUGCGCCGAAGAUGUCCGGGGCUCAAACUUACCACCGAAGCUAUGGGUGUACACUAUGUGUACGCGGUAGAGGAGCUUUCUGUAUGGGUUGAAGUCGUACCGUAAGGAGCGGUGGACUG